rnacentral:rRNA from 1 species
CACGUAGGGUGCGAGCGUUGUCCGGAAUUAUUGGGCGUAAAGAGCUCGUAGGCGGUUUGUCGCGUCUGCCGUGAAAGUCCGGGGCUCAACUCCGGAUCUGCGGUGGGUACGGGCAGACUAGAGUGAUGUAGGGGAGACUGGAAUUCCUGGGUGUAGCGGUGAAAUGCGCAGAUAAUCAGGAGGAACACCGAUGGCGAAGGCAGGGUCUCUGGGCAUUAACUGACGCUGAGGAGCGAAAAGCAUGGGGGAGCGAACAGG